rnacentral:rRNA from 1 species
CUCGUCUCAUCCUGGGGCUGAAGCAGGUCCCAAGGGUUGGGCUGUUCGCCCAUUAAAGAGGCACGCGAGCUGGGUUCAGAACGUCGUGAGACAGUUCGGUCCCUAUCCGUCGUGGGCGUCAGAUAUUUGAGAGGAGCUGUUCCUAGUACGAGAGGACCGGAACGGACAAACCACUGGUGCACCAGUUGUUCCGCCAGGAGCAUAGCUGGGUAGCUAAGUUUGGAAGGGAUAAGUGCUGAAGGCAUCUAAGCACGAAGCCCCCCUCAAGAUAAGAUAUCUCACCGAAAGGUUAAGGUCCCUGAUAGACGAUCAGGUAGAUAGGCUGGAUGUGGAAGUAUGGCAACAUAUGGAGCUGACCAGUACUAAUCGACCGAGGUCUUGAUCCAAG